rnacentral:lncRNA from 1 species
AGUGCCCCACUAUCGAGAAAGUAAGGAAGCCACACGCUGAGAGAUCAUCUCAAUUUGGUCGUCAGCCAAUCUGAUCUCUAAGGGGAGUGCUCUGCUGUCUGGCUGCUAGAUUGGAGUGUGCCUCCUAAUAGACUCUGAAGGGCCAACCUCGAGAUCUGAAACAAACUGAAUGUCUGGAGAUGCUGCCCUGAUAUCAUGGAGAGGUGAUGAAGGACCUUCUUCCUCAGCUCUGUCCUCAACUCUCUCUUC